GUGGACCUACGGGACGCAGCAGUGAGGAAUAUUGGUCAAUGGACGGAAGUCCGAACCAGCCAUGCCGCGCGCAGGAAGACGGCUCUAUGAGUUGUAAACUGCUUUUGUACAAGGGUAAACCUGAAUACGUGUAUUCAGCUGAAAGUACUGUACGAAUAAGGAUCGGCUAACUCCGUGCCAGCAGCCGCGGUAAUACGGAGGAUCCAAGCGUUAUCCGGAUUUAUUGGGUUUAAAGGGUGCGUAGGCGGAUUGAUAAGUUAGAGGUGAAAUGUCCGAGCUUAACUCGGGAACUGCCUCUAAUACUU
rnacentral:rRNA from 1 species